rnacentral:rRNA from 1 species
AAUACCGCAUAACGUCGCAAGACCAAAGAGGGGGACCUUCGGGCCUCUUGCCAUCAGAUGUGCCCAGAUGGGAUUAGCUAGUAGGUGGGGUAAUGGCUCACCUAGGCGACGAUCCCUAGCUGGUUAGAGAGGAUGCCCAGCCACACUGGAACUGAGACACGGUCCAGACUCCUACGGGAGGCAGCAGUGGGGAAUAUUGCACAAUGGGCGCAAGCCUGAUGCAGCCAUGCCGCGUGUAUGAAGAAGGCCUUCGGGUUGUA